rnacentral:rRNA from 1 species
GGCGGACGGGUGAGUAAUGCCUGGGAAAUUGCCCUGAUGUGGGGGAUAACCAUUGGAAACGAUGGCUAAUACCGCAUAAUGCCUUCGGGCCAAAGAGGGGGACCUUCGGGCCUCUCGCGUCAGGAUAUGCCCAGGUGGGAUUAGCUAGUUGGUGAGGUAAUGGCUCACCAAGGCGACGAUCCCUAGCUGGUCUGAGAGGAUGAUCAGCCACACUGGAACUGAGACACGGUCCAGACUCCUACGGGAGGCAGCAGUGGGGAAUAUUGCACAAUGGGCGCAAGCCUGAUGCAGCCAUGCCGCGUGUGUGAAGAAGGCCUUCGGGUUGUAAAGCACUUUCAGUCGUGAGGAAGGCGGGUACGUUAAUAGCGUAUUCGUUUGACGUUAGCGACAGAAGAAGCACCGGCUAACUCCGUGCCAGCAGCCGCGGUAAUACGGAGGGUGCGAGCGUUAAUCGGAAUUACUGGGCGUAAAGCGCAUGCAGGUGGUUCGUUAAGUCAGAUGUGAAAGCCCGGGGCUCAACCUCGGAACAGCAUUUGAAACUGGCGGACUAGAGUACUGUAGAGGGGGGUAGAAUUUCAGGUGUAGCGGUGAAAUGCGUAGAGAUCUGAAGGAAUACCGGUGGCGAAGGCGGCCCCCUGGACAGAUACUGACACUCAGAUGCGAAAGCGUGGGGAGCAAACAGGAUUAGAUACCCUGGUAGUCCACGCCGUAAACGAUGUCUACUUGGAGGUUGUGGCCUUGAGCCGUGGCUUUCGGAGCUAACGCGUUAAGUAGACCGCCUGGGGAGUACGGUCGCAAGAUUAAAACUCAAAUGAAUUUGACGGGGGGCCCGCACAAGCGUGGGAGCAUGUGGUUUAAUUUCGAUGCAACCGC